rnacentral:rRNA from 1 species
GAGUGGACUCCUACGGGAGGCAGCAGUGAGGAAUAUUGGUCAAUGGACGAAAGUCUGAACCAGCCAAGUAGCGUGCAGGAUGACGGCCCUCUGGGUUGUAAACUGCUUUUAGUUGGGAAUAAAAAAGAGGACGUGUCCUCUAUUGUAUGUACCUUCAGAAAAAGGACCGGCUAAUUCCGUGCCAGCAGCCGCGGUAAUACGGAAGGUCCAGGCGUUAUCCGGAUUUAUUGGGUUUAAAGGGAGCGUAGGCGGAUUAUUAAGUCAGUGGUGAAAGACGGUGGCUCAACCAUCGUUAGCCAUUGAAACUGGUAGUCUUGAGUGCAGACAGGGAUGCUGGAACUCGUGGUGUAGCGGUGAAAUGCUUAGAUAUCACGAUGAACUCCGAUCGCGAAGGCAGGUGUCCGGGCUGCAACUGACGCUGAGGCUCGAAAGUGUGGGUAUCAAACAGGAUUAGAUACCCUUGUAGUCCUAUC